rnacentral:rRNA from 1 species
AGAACGAACGUUGGCGGCGUGGAUUAGGCAUGCAAGUCGAACGCGAACGCCGGGCUUCGGCCUGGCUAGUAGAGUGGCGAACGGGUGAGUAACGUGUGGGCAAUCUACCCUUGAGUGGGGAAUAACCAUUCUAACGAGUGGCUAAUUCCGCAUGUGACCAUUUUCUCGCAUGGGAGAAUGGAGAAAGGCGGGGAUCUUCGGACCCGUCGCUCGAGGAGGAGCCCGCAUCCCAUUAGCUUGUUGGCGGGGUAAUGGCCCACCAAGGCGACGAUGGGUAGCCGAUCUGAGAGGAUGACCGGCCACACUGGGACUGAGAUACGGCCCAGACUCCUACGGGAGGCAGCAGUCGAGAGGCUUCGGCAAUGGGGGAAACCCUGACCGAGCGACGCCGCGUGCGGGAUGAAGGCUUUCGAGUCGUAAACCGCUGUCAGGAGGGAAGAACCCCAUCUAGUUAAUACCUAGGUGGUUGACGGUACCUCCAAAGGAAGCUCCGGCUAACUCCGUGCCAGCAGCCGCGGUAAUACGGGGGGAGCGAACGUUGUUCGGAUUUACUGGGCGUAAAGGGCGUGUAGGCGGCUUCGCAAGUCAGGGGUGAAAUGUCCAGGCUCAACCUGGGACCUGCCUCUGAAACUGCAGAGCUUGAGGUCGUGAGAGGAGAUUGGAAUUCCUAGUGUAGCGGUGAAAUGCAUAGAUAUUAGGAAGAACACCAGUGGCGAAGGCGAAUCUCUGGCACGAUUCUGACGCUGAUGCGCGAAAGCUAGGGGAGCGAACGGGAUUAGAUACCCCGGUAGUCCUAGCCGUAAACGAUGGGCACUAAGUGUUGGCAGAUCGACCCUGUCAGUGCUGAAGCUAACGCAUUAAGUGCCCCGCCUGGGGAGUACGACCGCAAGGUUG